UUAAGUUCAGCGGGUAUCCCUACCUGAUCCGAGGUCAAAGGUUGAAAAAAAGGCUUGCUGGACGCUGACCUUGGCUGGCAAAGAGCGCGACUUGUGCUGCGCUCCGAAACCAGUAGGCCGGCUGCCAAUGACUUUAAGGCGAGUCUCCAGCGAACUGGAGACAAAAGACGCCCAACACCAAGCAAAGCUUGAGGGUACAA
rnacentral:misc_RNA from 1 species